rnacentral:sRNA from 1 species
GCACUCCGCCUGCAGCCCAGCUGCCAGCGCCGCCUCCCGCGGCCGCCGCAGCCUGACAGAGCGCCCGGAACAUGCCAGCCUCGCGCAGCCUGCGCUGACUUCCCCGAGACGCGCCGCGGCCGGCACGGAGACUUUCUGGGCUCUGGAUGGUUCGUGCGCUGCUCACCCUCGCCCACCCCUGACUCCGCGGACCGCAGCCUCUCAGCCCCUCAGCCCCGCAACUCCGCAGCCCCGCCGCGGCGCCGAGGACAGUACAGCCGAGUUGCGUCUCCCUCGCGCGAGUGACCAGCCUAGAAGCUGAAGCUACCCAGCGGCUGCCAGCUAGCAGUCAUCUCAUUAGCAUACAAAAAAGACUAUCAUGUUGGAAUCAUGUGAAAUCACAUUGGAGAUUCCAAGGAUUUUAAGAGUUGUGUGCCAGGACACCUGGACAAAGACCAACUAUACAUUUCAUGAUGUCAGAACGAGUAAGUGGCAAAGCUGGCACCAAGGCUGGAUGACUCCAGAAUUUGUGUCCUUAACCACUAUGCCUCACUAUCUUCCAAAAAAAAAAUAUUCUAAAAACAAUCAUAACUG